AUUGAACGCUGGCGGCAGGCCUAACACAUGCAAGUCGAGCGGAUGAAGGGAGCUUGCUCCUGGAUUCAGCGGCGGACGGGUGAGUAAUGCCUAGGAAUCUGCCUGGUAGUGGGGGAUAACGUCCGGAAACGGGCGCUAAUACCGCAUACGUCCUGAGGGAGAAAGUGGGGGAUCUUCGGCCCUCACGCUACCAAUGGACCCUAGGUCGGUUUAGCUAGUUGGUGGGGUAAAGGCCUACCAAGGCGACGAUCCGUAACUGGUCUGAGAGGAUGAUCAGUCACACUGGAACUGAGACACGGUCCAGACUCCUACGGGAGGCAGCAGUGGGGAAUAUUGGACAAUGGGCGAAAGCCUGAUCCAGCCAUGCCGCGUGUGUGAAGAAGGUCUUCGGAUUGUAAAGCACUUUAAGUUGGGAGGAAGGGCAGUAAGUUAAUACCUUGCUGUUUUGACGUUACCAACAGAAUAAGCACCGGCUAACUUCGUG
rnacentral:rRNA from 1 species